UACAGAGGGUGCGAGCGUUGUCCGGAAUCACUGGGCGUAAAGAGCUCGUAGGCGGUUUGUCGCGUCGACUGUGAAAACCUGGGGCUUAACUCUGGGCCUGCAGUCGAUACGGGCAGACUUGAGUUCGGUAGGGGAGACUGGAAUUCCUGGUGUAGCGGUGAAAUGCGUAGAUAUCAGGAGGAAUACCGGUGGCGAAAGCGACUCUCUGGACGGCAACUGACGCUGAGGCACGAAAGCGUGGGGAGCAAACAGG
rnacentral:rRNA from 1 species